UGCGGUUAAAAAGCUCGUAGUUGGAUGUCGGCGAUCAGGGGCCGGUGAUAUAUUGUUGUAUGCUACUGGCCCAUUUGGUCGUAUGUUUUGAAAGAGGGUUUGGGGUCCCCUUCACUGGGUGUCCUAGGUCGCUUUCAGGUUUACUUUGAAAAAAUUAGAGUGCUCAAAGCAGGCUUUAACGCUUGAAUAUUCGUGCAUGGAAUAAUAGAAUAGGAAGUUCGUUUCUAUUUUGUUGGUUUUAGGAUAACGACUUAAUGAUUAAUAGGGACAAUCGGGGGAAUUAGUAUUCAAACGACAGAGGUGAAAUUCUUGGACCGUUUGAAGACUAACUACUGCGAAAGCAUUUUCCAAGAGUGUUUUCAUUAAUCAAGAACGAAGUUAGAGGUUCGAAGGCGAUCAGAUACCGCCCUAGUUCUAACCAUAAACGAUGCCAGCUAGCGAUCUCAGGGUGCGUAAUACUAAGGCCCCUGAGGGAGCUUCCGGGAAACCAAAGCUUGUGGGUUCCGGGGGAAGUAUGGUUGCAAAGCUGAAACUUAAAGGAAUUGACGGAAGGGCACCACCAGGAGUGGAGCCUGCGGCUUAAUUUGACUCAACACGGGAAAUCUCACCAGGCCCGGACACCGGAAGGAUUGACAGAUUGAGAGCUCUUUCUCGAU
rnacentral:rRNA from 1 species